GUGAAUCAUCAAAUUUUUGAACGCAAAUUGCACUCUCUGGUAUUCCGGAGAGUAUGCCUGUUUGAGUGUCAGUAUAAUCAAAAUCUGAGCGAUGCCUUUUGGGUGAAUCACCGGAGUUUGGGUCAUGUGAACUCUGUAAGUGACCUAAAAUUAACAUUCUUUUUUUGCUUACUUUGAGUCGUUCAUAAUUGUUUUUAUUCGUCUACCCUGGUGGCAAAAAUUUUAUUAGAUCUUUAAUUAUG
rnacentral:misc_RNA from 1 species